CUUGGUUGAUCUUACAAGUAGUCAUAUGCUUGUCUCAAAGAUUAAGCCAUGCAUGUCUAAGUAUGAACUAAUUCAAAUGGUGAAACUAUGAAUGUCUCACUAAAUUCGUUAAAGUUUGUUUAAUGGUAUCUAUUACUUAGAUAACCAUAGUAAUUCUAAAGCUAAUACAUGCAACAAACCUCGACUGCUGCUAAGGAUGCAUUUAUUAGAUAAAAAGUCGAUGUACGCUUUGCCCAUUGCUCUGAUGAUUCAUGAUAACUCGACAAAUCACACGACCUCUGUACGAGUGACGGAUCAUUCAAAUUUUUGCCCUAUCAACUUUCAAAGGUAGGAUAGUGGCCUACUAUGGUGGUGAUGGGUGAUGAAAAACUAGGGUUCAACUCCAAAGUGGGAACUUGAAAAAUGGCUACCACAUUCAAGGAAGGCAAUAGGUGUACAAAUUAUCCAAUCUUGACAAGAGAAGGUAGUGACAAUAAAUAGCAAUAUUGGGUUCUAUCAUUCUAGUAAUUAGAAUGAGUACAAUCUAAAUCCCUUAACAAGCAUCCAUUGGAGGGCAAGUCUAGUGCCAGUAGUCAUGGUAAUUCUAGCUCCAACAGAGUACAUUUAAGUUGGUGUAAUUAAAAAGCUCAAAGUUGGAACUAGGGUUAGGUCAUUUGAUCCAACUCACAGUGAGCACUGAUCUACUUAUCCCUACUGUCGAUACUGUACUUCUAACCUUAACUGGUUGGAUCGUUCCUCCAGCACUAUUACGUUGAAGAAAUUAGAGUGCCUAAAAUAGUCCUACACUUAUAUACAUUAGCAUAGGAUAACAUCAUAGGAUUUUAGUCCUAUUGUGUUGGCCUUUAGGAUCAAAGUAAUGAUUAAUAGGGAUAGUUUGGAGCAUUUGUAUUUCAUAGUCAAAUGUGAAAUUCUUGGAUUUAUGAAAGAUGAACAACUACAAUAGCAUUUACCAAGGAUGUUUUCAUUAAUCAAGAAUGAAAGUUGGGGACUCGAUGAUGAUCAGAUAUCAUCCUAGUCUUAACCAUAAAUGAUGUCGACCAAAGAUCGAUGAAUGUUAAUUUUAGGGCUUUACCAGCACCUUAUGAGAAAUCAAAGUCUUUGGAUUCCAAUGGAGUAUGGUCGCAAGGUUGAAGCUUUAAGGAAUUGAUGGAAGGGCACCACUAAGAGUGGAUCUUGCUACUUAAUUUGACUCAAAACAAAGAAACUUACCAGGUCUAGACAUAGGAAACAUUGAUAGAUUGAGAGCUCUUUCUUGAUUAAAUGAGUGGUGGUGCAUGGCUGUUCUUAGUUGGUGGAGCAAUUUGUCUAGUUAAUUCCAUUAACGAAUGAGACCUUAACCUACUAACUAGCUAUGUGGAGUUGAUCCUUCAUGGCUAGGUUUUUAGAGAGACCAUGGCCACUUGACUAAGAAAGUUUGAGGCAAUAACAGGUCUGUGAUGCCCUUAGAUAUUUUGGGUUGCACAUGUGUUACACUGAUGUAUUUAAUGAGUCUAUAGCCUUGGCUAACAAGACCUAUAGCGAACAAGUUUCGUAAAGGAAAAAUCAAUAGGACUUUGAAAAAAGAGUCAAAAGGUGUUUGAAAUUGUCGAAAGGGAAGCAAAUGGGAAUUGGCAAUAUGCCCUAAUCAGAUAUGGAAUGGCAAAAGCCAGUUUGUUAAUCAGAUCAAGGCAUGGACCAACAUGGCUUACAGUGGUGGCCCAAGCUUGGGCUUUUGAUAUGCCUAUGGAGAUGUCAUCACCAUGAUCAUAGAUGCAACACGCACCAUCUCGGUGUGCCUUGGCACU
rnacentral:rRNA from 1 species